AGGGGAAGACCACACUUGGACGUCGGCUCCUGGGGCACUUCCUUGAUUCCCCUGCACUCCUCAGCGGGAUGGGAGAGGCGGAGGUUCCAGGAGGGAGCCUUCCAGAGUCGGUGCAGGGUUGACAGGAGACGUUUGUUUUACUUUUCCUGAACUUUCGAUCACCAGCUUAUUUGGUCUUGAUGUUGUAGGGUUGGUAAAGACAGCAGUGGAGUGAUAUCGGACACCGAGCUUAGCAAGCUGUCUCCAAUGGUGAAACCGCACUGAGAAGGUAUUUGUGGCCUGUUCGCUGAUUCAUUGAUUAGACUUCUUGGCACAGGAGAGCUGCUAAAAAUUACUGCGGUGAACAGGUAUGAAGAAGAAGGCUGUUCUCUGCCCUUCUUUUUGCAAUAAAAUGUUACAAACUAUCUUGAGUUUGAUCCCUU